UACGUAGGUGGCGAGCGUUGUUCGGAAUUACUGGGCGUAAAGCGCACGUAGGCGGCUUUGCAAGUCAGAGGUGAAAGCCCGGGGCUCAACCCCGGAAUUGCCUUUGAGACUGCAUCGCUAGAGUUGUGGAGAGGUAAGUGGAAUUCCGAGUGUAGAGGUGAAAUUCGUAGAUAUUCGGAAGAACACCAGUGGCGAAGGCGACUUACUGGACACAUAUUGACGCUGAGGUGCGAAAGCGUGGGGAGCAAACAGG
rnacentral:rRNA from 1 species